AACCCUUUUAAAUAAGAAAGAAAAGCAGCAGCAAAGACCAGCAACAGCCCCCCCAAAAAGGAGAUUAUUACAGAAAGAAAUGCAGGGCGAUGAGGACAAGGUCUUGAUAGGAUUCCCCCCCAGUUCCCGCCCCACUCUCUCUCAGGUUAAAGCUGCAUGCAGAAAGAAAGUAUGGGAAUCUCAUCCUGACCUGUUUCCUCUUUAUGAAAAGCCCGGUGCCGAGUCCAAGUUCAAGUUGAUUUCAGUAGUACACUUACUUGCAGACUGGGUUAUCUGAAAGACCCAUUUUAUGGUUUUGACUUUUGAGGACGAAACACAAGUCAACUAGGUUUUGGGGUACAUGCAGCAGGAGACUCCAGAGAAAGGAUUUACAGGGUAAUAACAAGUCAAGGAAAUAAGCUGCUGCUGCAGUGCUGAUUGCCAAAUGUUUGAAGAAAUGGCUCCACUUCGGUCCUCAGGAUAUAUUGAUCCUGGAUGGGAACAUGGCAUUGCUCAAGAUGAAAGAAAGAAGAAGGUCAAAUGCAACUACUGUGGGAAAAUAGUCAGUGGUGGAAUAUUCAGGUUGAAGCAACAUCUAGCUAGAAUGUCUGGUGAAGUUACUCACUGUGUUAAGGUUCCUGAGGAAGUAUGCUUCAAUAUGAGAAAAACCCUGGAAGGAUGCCGUUCAGGUCGAAAACGAAGGCAAACUGAAUAUGAACAGGCAUCUUUAGCUUUCCAAGCUAAUGAAUAUGAUGACAUGGAAGAAGCUUCCUGUAGUUACAAACAAAAAGGCAAAAGGGUGGUGGGUGACAAGAACUUGGUUAUAAGGUUUGCUUCUCUUCGAUCCUUAGGAUAUGUAGACCCGGGCUGGGAACACUGUGUUGCUCAAGAUGAAAAGAAGAAAAGGGUGAAGUGCAACUACUGUGAAAAAAUUAUUAGUGGAGGCAUAAACCGAUUUAAACAACAUCUGGCUAGGAUCCCUGGGGAAGUUGCCUACUGUGACAAGGCACCUGAGGAAGUGUACCUUAGAAUCAAGGAGAACAUGAAAUGGCACCGUACUGGAAGAAGGAAUCGGAAACUUGAAUCUAAAGAUUUAUCCACUUUCUAUACCAACUCAGACAAUGAGGAGGAAGAGGAGGAACAUGAGGGAGGGUUGUUGCAAUAUUCAAGUAAGGAUUUGCUGGUCAUUGAUGAUAAAUUUUCUGACAAUGACAUCAGAAAUAACAUGAAGGGGAGGUCCCCUGGUAGCAGCAGCAAUGGUGCUGAACCACCAAUGAAAAGAUCAAGAUUGGAUUCAGUGUUUUUGAAGUCUCUUAAAAGCCAAACAUCAUCACACUACAGGCAAACAAAAGCAAAGAUGGGUUUUGAGAAGAAAGCUCGAAAGGAAGUUAUCUCUGCCAUCUGCAAAUUCUUUUAUCAUGCAGGAUUGCCUUCAAAUGCAGCAAAUUCCCCAUAUUUCCACAAAAUGCUGGAGUUGGUUGGCCAGUAUGGGCCAGGUCUGCAAGGUCCUUCCAGCCGGCUGAUAUCUGGUCGAUUUCUUCAGGAUGAGAUCACUACCAUUAAAGAGUAUCUAGAAGAAUUUAAGGCAUCUUGGAUAAUUACUGGUUGUUCUAUUUUGGCUGAUAGUUGGAAUGAUCUCCAGGGUAGGACAUCAAUAAACCUUUUGGUCUGUUGUCCCCGAGGUGUAUAUUUUGUUUCUUCUGUUGAUGCCACUGAUAUAAUAGAAGAUGCCACCAGCCUUUUCAAGUUGUUGGACAAGGUGGUGGAAGAGAUUGGCGAGGAAAAUGUUGUUCAGGUAAUCACUAAGAACACUGCCAGUUUUAAGGCCGCUGGGAAGAUGCUAGAAGAGAAAAGAAGAAAUUUAUUUUGGACACCAUGUGCUAUCCAUUGCAUUGAUCAAAUGGUAGAGGAUUUUUUGAAUAUAAAAUGGGUAGGAGAGUGCAUAGAUAAGGCUAAAAAAGUUACAAGGUUUAUUUACAACAAUACUUGGUUGUUGAAUUAUAUGAAGAAAGAGUUCACAAAGGGACAGGAACUUCUCAGGCCAGCUGUUACUAAAUAUGGCACUACAUUCUUCACUUUACAAAGUUUGUUGGACCAAAGGGUGGGUCUUAAGAAAAUGUUCCUAUCAAAUAAAUGGGUAUCCUCUCGUUUUACCAAAUCAGAUGAUGGUAGAGAAGUUGGAAAAAUUGUCUUAAAUUCCACUUUCUGGAAGAAGAUACAGUAUGUGAUAAAAUCUUUAGAACCAGUUGCACUUGUUCUUCAGAAGAUAGAUAGUGAUGAAACCCAAUCAAUAGCACAUAUAUAUAAUGACAUGUGUAGAGCUAAACAUGCAAUUAAAGCUAUUCAUGGGGAUGAUGCACGAAAAUAUGGACCUUUCUGGAGCGUGAUAGAAAACCAAUGGAGCUCCUUGUUUCACCACCCUCUUUAUGUGGCUGCUUACUUUCUUAAUCCAUCUUACCGCUAUCGUCCUGAUUUCCUAUUGAAUCCUGAGGUUAUUCGUGGUCUAAAUGAAUGCAUUGUUCGAUUAGAAGCUGACAAUGGGAAAAGAGUUUCUGCAUCCAUGCAGAUACCUGAUUUUGUGUCUGCCAAAGCAGAUUUUGGAACUGAUUUGGCUAUAAGUACUAGAAUGGAGCUCAAUCCAGCUGCAUGGUGGCAGCAACAUGGGAUAAAUUGCUUGGAGCUUCAACGAAUUGCCAUUCGCAUGUUAAGCCAGACAUGCUCAUCUCUUGUAUGUGAACACACGUGGAGUAUAUAUGAUCAAGUUCACAGUAAAAGGCAGAGUAGUGUGUCUAGGAAGAGAUGGAAUGAGCUUACCUAUGUCCACUACAAUUUGCGACUAAGAGAACGACAACAACGAAGAAAGCCUUGUGAUGUGAUCUCAUUUGACAACUUAAUUACAGAAAACAUACUGGAUGACUGGCUUGUGGAGUCAGACAGACAACCCAUGCAAGAAGACGAGGAUAUCCUUUAUAAUGAGAUGGAACAGUUUGAUGGAGAUGUAAUGGAUGAGAAUGACCAUCAAGAAAAGAGACCUGCAGAUAUGGUGACAUUGGCAGGGGGGUUACUUGAGCCUUUGGAUGUUAUUCCUGCUGCUGGAGGAGUUACCACAGAUGAUGACGGUCUUGAUUUUCUUGAUGAUGAUUUGUCAGAUUAGUUAAUAUGUGUGUGGCUCAUCAAACCUGGAUAUAGGUCCCCACUUGUCAAUGAUGCACUUCUGCCUAUUCUCAUUUGACAUGCACGUAUUUUUUCUUCUUUUGUUUAUUGAUUUAGUAAUAUGAGUGAAUGCCUCUCGUAUUGAAACCACAGAUUCAUAUUGAUGGUCGGGGGUCUAGUUCCUGUAAAAAACAUUUACCCUUGAGUUUUUUUGCUGGGGAUCUUUCAGUUAGAGUGUCUUAUUGGACCAUGUCCUUUGGAUGAGUUUGCAAACCACAAUUCAUGCUUUAAUCACCUUGUCCCGAAGGCGGUUGAUUAGCUAAACAGCUGACAACCAAUGAGACUGAGUUGUUAUUAAAAGUUUCAUUUUAUGGCUACCGCAGGUGCAAAAGGAGAAGGUUCGGCUUCAGCUACCUAUGCUCGAGUUGUGAAGACGGGAGUGCCAAGAGCACAUGGUGGAAGAAGUGAUCGUGCUCUGAUUCAGAUCCCUUUUUUAUUACUCCGGGAACAGCUGGACUGGGGAGGUUAAAUGCCACCUCGUGAUUUCCAGUGUCAACCCAAAGGAUUGCCAAUUUUCUAGCCAGAAGCUUUAUGUCUGCAGUAUGUGGUCACAUCAAUCUUUGAUUGUUUUGCUUCUCAGGGCUCACGAAAAGCAGAGCGAGCUCUCAUGCAUGGCCAAGUCUAGAAUUCCAGGACGAAGUCAUAGCUGUAGUGUAUCAUUGAUCAUUUGACCAGUAAUACAAAAUAAAGGAGGAGAAACCAAUACGAAGCUCAACUCGGAUAAAGGAACAAUGAAAAGUAUCCUUUCAGAAAUUUAAACACGGAUUCCCAAUGCUCCUUAGGAUUAUGAUUACAAAUAAUUCCAGGUAAAAAGACACUGUUUUCAGCGACAUGUGUUUCGCUGAAGAGUAUACUUGCGAAGUACUGUUCGAUAUGAACCAGCUCGGUGCUCACCAAGAUCAGCAAGCCUUAUUCAGACUUUAUGUUCGAAUAGUAUCAGUUACAAAGAUGCGCAAGCUUUAAUUUCGAUAUAAAUGUGACGAAGUUCCUUCAAAUACAUGUUGAUGCACAAGACAUUGUUUUCUGCUAAUUUAUGUUAAAUCUAUUUA